UACGUAGGGUGCAAGCGUUGUCCGGAAUCAUUGGGCGUAAAGCGCGUGUAGGCGGCUCGGUAAGUCUGCUGUGAAAGUCCAGGGCUCAACCCUGGGAUGCCGGUGGAUACUGUCGAGCUCGAGUCCGGAAGAGGUGUGUGGAAUUCCUGGUGUAGCGGUGAAAUGCGCAGAUAUCUGGAGGAACACCGGUGGCGAAGGCGGCAUCCUGGCCUGUUCUUGACGCUGAGGCGCGAAAGCUAGGGUAGCAAACGGG
rnacentral:rRNA from 1 species